GACAGAGGGGGCAAGCGUUGCUCGGAAUUACUGGGCGUAAAGGGCGCGUAGGCGGGAUGGCAAGUCGGUCGUGAAAUCCCUCGGCUCAACUGAGGAUCGUCGAUCGAUACUGCCGUUCUUGAGGAUUGCAGAGGAGACUGGAAUUCCCGGUGUAGCGGUGAAAUGUGUAGAGAUCGGGAGGAACACCGGUGGCGAAGGCGGGUCUCUGGGCAAUUCAUGACGCUGAGGCGCGAAAGCGUGGGGAGCAAACGGG
rnacentral:rRNA from 1 species